CACGUAGGGUGCGAGCGUUGUCCGGAAUUAUUGGGCGUAAAGAGCUCGUAGGCGGUGUGUCGCGUCGGCCGUGAAAACCUGUGGCUUAACUGUGGGCGUGCGGUCGAUACGGGCAUCACUGGAGUUCGGCAGGGGAGACUGGAAUUCCUGGUGUAGCGGUGAAAUGCGCAGAUAUCAGGAGGAACACCGGUGGCGAAGGCGGGUCUCUGGGCCGAUACUGACGCUGAGGAGCGAAAGCGUGGGGAGCGAACAGG
rnacentral:rRNA from 1 species